AUUGAACGCUGGCGGCAGGCCUAACACAUGCAAGUCGAGCGGAUGAAGAGAGCUUGCUCUCUGAUUCAGCGGCGGACGGGUGAGUAAUGCCUAGGAAUCUGCCUGGUAGUGGGGGACAACGUUUCGAAAGGAACGCUAAUACCGCAUACGUCCUACGGGAGAAAGCAGGGGACCUUCGGGCCUUGCGCUAUCAGAUGAGCCUAGGUCGGAUUAGCUAGUAGGUGGGGUAAAGGCUCACCUAGGCGACGAUCCGUAACUGGUCUGAGAGGAUGAUCAGUCACACUGGAACUGAGACACGGUCCAGACUCCUACGGGAGGCAGCAGUGGGGAAUAUUGGACAAUGGGCGAAAGCCUGAUCCAGCCAUGCCGCGUGUGUGAAGAAGGUCUUAGGAUUGUAAAGCACUUUAAGUUGGGAGGAAGGGCAGUAAGCUAAUACCUUGCUGUUUUGACGUUACCAACAGAAUAAGCACCGACUAACUUCGUGCCAGCCGCCGCGGUAAUAC
rnacentral:rRNA from 1 species